rnacentral:rRNA from 1 species
CCUACGGGAGGCAGCAGUGGGGAAUAUUGGACAAUGGGGGAAACCCUGAUCCAGCGAUGCCGCGUGAGUGAUGAAGGCCUUAGGGUUGUAAAACUCUUUCAGAAGUGAAGAUGAUGACGGUAACUUCAGAAGAAGCUCCGGCUAACUCCGUGCCAGCAGCCGCGGUAAUACGGAGGGAGCUAGCGUUGUUCGGAAUUACUGGGCGUAAAGAGCGUGUAGGCUGUUAGAUAAGUCAGAGGUGAAAUCCCUAAGCUCAACUUAGGAACUGCCUUUGAUACUAUUUUACUAGAGAUCGAGAGAAGUUGGCGGAAUUCCAAGUGUAGAGGUGAAAUUCGUAGAUAUUUGGAAGAACACCAGUGGCGAAAGCGGCCAACUGGCUCGUUUCUGACGCUAAGACGCGAAAGCGUGGGUAGCAAACAGGAUUAGAUACCCUGGUAGUCCACGCCGUAAACGAUGAGUGCUAGCCGUUUGUGAUUUAUCACAAGUGGUGCAGCUAACGCGUUAAGCACUCCGCCUGGGGAGUACGAUCGCAAGAUUAAAACUCAAAGGAAUUGACGG